UACGGAGGGUGCGAGCGUUGUCCGGAAUCAUUGGGCGUAAAGGGCGCGUAGGUGGCCUGGUCAGCGUGCGGUGAAAGCUCGGGGCUCAACCCCGCGUCGGCCGUGCGAACUGCUGGGCUGGAGCACUGUAGAGGCAGGCGGAAUUCCGGGUGUAGCGGUGGAAUGCGUAGAGAUCCGGAAGAACACCGGUGGCGAAGGCGGCCUGCUGGGCAGUAGCUGACACUGAGGCGCGACAGCGUGGGGAGCAAACAGG
rnacentral:rRNA from 1 species